rnacentral:lncRNA from 7 species
ACUAUUCAGCGCUGUGGCAACUAGAGUAAGCUCUUCAAAACAUAACUUCCGUUAUUGCUCUUUUUCCUAAUUUGACUGGGCUUCCAGAAGAAGAGUGCUUCACUACCACAGUCACUCAGUUUUAUGCCAAAUGUCAAAUUUUCUCAGAAUUCUUCACCCCCUAAUUGUACCUACCGGCAACUUGCCAACAUGUUGGGUGAAUACAGUAUUUGCCAUCUGACAGUUCUCCAGAAACACCUCUCCUUGUGGAAAUUUUCAGCAAGGAAAGCGAUCACUCUAUAUAUGUAUUUAAUCUCCAUGAUUCUUAUCAGGCAUCAGUCUUUCAAAGCUCAGUUCCAAGUUGGUAUAUGAUGUCAAACUUAUUUUUGGGACAUGUAGAAAUACCAUGAGGGCUCACUAAUCUAAUGAGGUAAAAUUACUCCUGAAGGAUAAAAUUAGCGUGCUGGAACUUUCCCAACAAUUAUAUUUGUACAGCCCUACCAUGUAUAUUAUACAGCAUGCUUCUAAAAAACCAUUACUAUGAAAUACAUAUUCUUGAUGUCUUUU